rnacentral:rRNA from 1 species
AAACCUGAGGAACCCGAAAGAUCGAAUGGGGAGAUUCAGCGUCAGCGGCGCUGGCUCGGCCGAGUGAGCGUUGUUGCGGACUACGGUCGGCGACACGUUAUCACUCAUGCCUUGUCCGGUGUCGUCGUCGUGCACUUCUCCUCUAGUAGAACGUCGCGACCCGUUGGGUGCCGGUCCUACGGUCCGAGCGGUAGACUGUCGCGUCGCUUCGGCGCACGCGUCAGACCCUCGGUCGCCCGGCCGGCUGCCCGGCGGUCGAACUUAUAAGGUAUCUUGCCGCAAUUAUCGAACUGCGUCGGGCCCGCCGCAAGCGCGGUCAGUGUCUCGGAGGUACGGACCCGGUGCCGUCCCCGAGCCUGACCAGCUGUUGGCAGGCGGAGUCCUCGGACGGGCAAUACACAAUAAUACCGGUCUGCGACGCUACUGCUUUGGGUACUCUCAGGACCCGUCUUGAAACACGGACCAAGGAGUCUAACAUGUGCGCGAGUCAUUGGGAUUGCAAAGCCUAAAGGCGUAAUGAAAGUGAAGGUCGACCUCGCGUCGACCGAGGGAGGAUGGGCCGCGUUAAGACGCGGCUCCGCACUCCCGGGGCGUCUCGUUCUCAUUGCGAGAAGAGGCGCACCCAGAGCGUACACGUUGGGACCCGAAAGAUGGUGAACUAUGCCUGGUCAGGACGAAGUCAGGGGAAACCCUGAUGGAGGUCCGUAGCGAUUCUGACGUGCAAAUCGAUCGUCGGAACUGGGUAUAGGGCGAAAGACUAAUCGAACCAUCUAGUAGCUGGUUCCCUCCGAAGUUUCCCUCAGGAUAGCUGGCACUCGCCCGUUCUCUUCGAACGUAAACGAGUCUCAUCUGGUAAAGCGAAUGAUUAGAGGCCUUGGGGCCGAAACGACCUCAACCUAUUCUCAAACUUUAAAUGGGUGAGAUCUCUGGCUUGCUUGAACUAUGAAGCCAUGAGAGAUUUCGGAUCAGAGUGCCAAGUGGGCCAAUUUU